rnacentral:rRNA from 1 species
CCGAAACUAAGUGAGCUACUUUAGAACAGCCCCAGAGCUAACCCGUCUCUGUCGCAAAAGAGUGGGAAGAUUCUCAAGUAGAGGUGAUAAACCUACCGAACUUAGAGAUAGCUGGUUUUUUAAGAAAAGAAUUUUAGUUCUAUUUUAAACUUAUAUAUUAAACAAAAAUACACUCAAGUUUAAAAGUUAUUCAAAUAAGGCACAGCUUAUUUGAAAUGGGACACAACCCAGAACCCAGGGUAAGACAAAUAAUAUUUUAACAAGCGGGCCUAAAAGCAGCCAUCUUUUAAAAAGCGUCAAAGCUUAGCGAUUUCAAUUUACCUGAUACCUACACCUACUUCUAACCCUCAAGCCCCUAUUAAAAAACUCCAUAUACUUAUGGAAGAUAUUAUGCUGGAACAAGUAACAAGAAAAAGACUUUCUCCAAAAUGUAAGCUUUAGCCUUAAUAGACACCCUACCGGCAAUUAACGUGUAUAAACUCACUGUAACAACCUCAACAAGAAAACCUUACACUCCCCAACGUCAAUCUUACACUAGCACAU